GCACCCGUAGUUCAACGGAUAGAACACAAGCCUCCGAAGCCUGUGAUCCAAGUUCGAUUCUUGGCGGGUGCACCA
rnacentral:tRNA from 1 species